UUCGGGAAACCGGAGCUAAUACCGGAUAAUAUUUUGAACCGCAUGGUUCAAAAGUGAAAGACGGUCUUGCUGUCACUUAUAGAUGAUCCGCGCUGCAUUAGCUAGUUGGUAAGGUAACGGCUUACCAAGGCAACGAUGCAUAGCCGACCUGAGAGGGUGAUCGGCCACACUGGAACUGAGACACGGUCCAG
rnacentral:rRNA from 1 species